AGCGCUGCACUGACUCUCACUGCCCAGAAUUAAUCGAAGCCAAUAGAAAUUUCUCAAGCUGAAGUAAAGAGAAACAAACAAGGCCGAAUCAGAAGACACUGUUUUUCAUGUUGAUGCUUCACGUUUCGUUUUUUUUUCCCCUUGGAAUUGAUGGGUUCUCCAAAAAGAUCAAGGGGAGUUUACCGGCGCAUUUCUGUUGAAUAGCUGAGUCCUGCUGCUGCAUAUUUCCAGAGUUAAUUAGCGCGAUGCUGGGCCGUUAUUGCGCCUUUGCUGGGCAGGCAGGUUACGCUGACCGCGGCGUCACACCCAGCACCCACACUGAGGAGGACUUUACUGCUGAUUACAGACUUCUCCAGUGUGUACCUUGAUGGACCACUCUGUCCUGAGCGCUUUGUAUCAAUCGGAAAGUGUGUUAGAGAUGAAGACAAGACUGGUCAGUUCACCACCAGAGGAGCGGUCAAAAAGAUCAACGGCACCACAGAUAGACCCUCAGUCAGUCGCCUGGCUUUGCCGUUCAUCAACUCCAGGAACCUCUAACACAGAUUGAAUUUGACUUUCAAGCGUUCGAGGGCUAGCUCGUCCACUUUGU